UGAACCUUGCUGUUUGUAACUAGUCUGCUGAUUGGCUGUGAUAUAUUUAUAUCACAUUAUUCAUUGUAACAAGAUGAAGGUUGCUAAUACAAAAAUAAACCUCGCUGUUGCACUGCUCUUCUGUGUUGCAUACGCACACGCCAAGUGUCCUUGCCAACAAAUUACGAGGAUGGUGAGAGGACGCAAUGUGUGCUCAUGCAGGCCAGGGUAUGUCGUCAGUCCCACAAACCCUGCUCAAU